CUCCCUAUUGAGGAGAGGUAGCAGCAGUGCUGGAGAGCUACCUUUCCUUCUACAAUCUAACAACUGCCUACAGCAGCUGAAGGAGGGAACUGUCUGGCUAAGGCUGUUUCCAUUCAAGCGUUCAGGCACAUGAACAGAAGACUCUCCCCACCCUCCCUUGCUGAAUGAAGAAUAUCAGCAUUUAUGCGGUUAAAUCAGUCUGUCGGCUGGCAUCUCAAGAGCUGGAAUAAGAAUCGCCCCUGCCUGUCACGCAGCAAAACAUUUACUUCAAGAGCAGAGAAGGAGAAAGUACACUCUGCAUGCUUGUUCGAAAGAAAAUAUUCUAGCUCCAGCAGUAAGACAGCAAAUAUUUCUUCCAAAGACCCAGCUAGUGGGGGGAGAUGUUCCUAGACAAAUUCUCAGCAAGUCCAAGGUCUGAACCAGAUGCUUCCCACCAAUCCUGCUUGCUAGGAAAGAAAGGAAGGGUUUUUGACUGACCCUAAUAACAGAAUCAUCUCAAUGUGGAAAGUGGAAAAGACCUCAUUUUUUCCAAACUCUCCUUCAUCUAAUCACUUACACCCAUAACUUUGGAGAGUGGAAAUCAUCAACCAUAUUAGCAAGAGAUAAAACAAGCUUGCCAGAUCACCCAGGAAUAAAUCAUCUGCAACGUGAUAGGUUGGCAGAAAGUUCAUUUCCUUUGUUCAAAAAGGAAAGCCUGUACAGAGCUAAGCCUGGCAGCAACUCAGAUCUGUCAGUUCCAGAAGAGGACUAAAGAGAUUUGGGCAAAUUAAAACUCUGACAGCGUAAGAAGUUAUAACAACAAAAAUCAAUCUCUAAUGGGGCAUGUGAGAAAUGACUUCCAAAGGCUCCUGUAGAGCAGUUUGCUUAACCAAGUGGGGUGAAGAUCUCACAACCAACACAGUUGUGCUUUCUCUACAGAACUCUGGUCAGAAUCCACUUUCAGGUGUAAACCCCCUUUCUGGAUUUUCUUCACGAAAUGGGUAAAGGAAGGCAACAUUUUAAGGGUGAAUAGAGAAAAUGGACAAAACCUGAGAGUGAGCAAUGACUGAGAUUUAUUUUAAAUACCAUGGAAAUCUUACUGGCCGUGUCCACUUGCCAACCCUGGCUACAGAAGUAAACACAACAGCAGAUAAAUAUGCCAACCUGUACAUGUACGUUGGCUUGUUCCUAACGCUCCUAGCCAUCCUUCUCAUACUACUCUUCACCAUGCUCUUACGCCUGAAGCACAUGAUCUCCCCAAUCACCACCUCUCCAGAAAGCACAGGGGAUGUACACCAGUUUACAGAGGUAGAAAUGCAGAGCAGGAUUCCUAGUAUUCAAUGAGACAGAAGCAACAGGCAGGAGAAAAGAGUUGCAUGGCUCACAAAGCACCUUUUGUUUGGCAAAAUAUGUGUGUGCUUUGUGGGGAGGAGAACUCCCACCUGCCCACUCUGCUUUGCAAUGUACUGCACAUGUAUCAAACAAACAUUUUCAGCAUCUUGGGCAGUAUCAUUUGACUCAUUUGUGAACUGACAGUCAUAAAAUAUCCAGUAGGCUUAGAACACUCCUACCCCUUGAAGACUGCAAGCAACAUGUGUUGAGAAGUUUGGUUUCUAUGAGAAUAUGGCACACAUGUCCUAAAUAAAAUCUAGACCACAGAAGCCAAGUUGCUCUCAGGAGAGACUCGGCUCCUCCUGAAAAGACUUCAUCCAAAUGAUAAAAGCUACUAUAAUGACAGCCAAAAACCCAAAAACGUACAAGAAUAUUUUCUGAAAGAUGUAUUUGCUGAGUUAUCUUCCCCUCUAUUCCUAGAGGAGAUUCCUCGCCCGAUAAGAGACUUGAACUCAAAGUUAAUUUGUGGUGCAGGCUCAAAGAACCCACAGGGCACAUACGGAAAAUGAAUAGUGGUGUGAAAAUCCCCAGACAUCCAUCCCAUUCAAGAAGGAAAAUCUUAAAUGGUGUUUUUUCCACUUGGAAUAGCACAUUUGCAAAAUGCAAUUUUGGAAAUAGACAAGCGUUCCUGUUAUAAGGCCAAUGUGCAUCAUACACUGGGGCUAUUACUUUCAGACAUUAAGAAUCAAACAAACAGUGAAUAGUGCAUUCCAAUUAUCAGAAAGAGGCAGCUCAUUCAGAAUGAAAGAAAAUAAAAGGUAAAGUUCUUUGCAUGAAUCAAGCAGCAUGAGUCAUAUUCAGAAGACACACUGCCUCUGUGUCCCUGCCCUUCCUUUGCAGGAAUUGCAUUCCUUAAAACUGGGUUCAUUUCUUUCAGCUUUCCUAAUGUCACUCAAUAAUUAAAAUCCUAUUUAAUGUUAGUGAAUUAAGUGGACAUUGCUAACAGUGAUAAGGUUGUUCUGAAUUUGGACCUCUCUGUCAUCUCCAUGUAGUUUUUCCCUCCAGAAACAUGCUAAAACUCCCAAUAAUUUUCUCCCAAGGAUACGGGGGCAGGGGAGAAGGGAAAGAGAAGAGAAUGCCAAGGCCCCACACUGCAAUAAUAAAUCAGCAUUCACAGCUCUGUACUCUGGAGUUAUCCGAAAUGACCAACUAGUGUGCAUACAAAAUUAAAGGAAAAUAUGAGCACUGAAAUAGGAGAGCAAGAUUCCAAGAGAUCAACUAGAACAGUAAGAAAAAAUAUCUAAAAUUAUGAAACAAUAUGCUGGGAAUGUCCUUUUAACAUCUCUCUAUAUAAACAUACAAUACCCUAUGUAAAAAAAUAAUCUCACUUCUGUUGGGCCACUAUCCCUUAUAACAUAACUUUUUAGAUAGGGAUCAUUUUAAACUCAUAUUUACUGGGCAGGUGCUUCCCCAUGUAUUUUAACUAGCACAUCUUACCUCCUUUGCUCCUUUGUACUAAAUCUAGCCUUGUGAUAAAACUCCCUUGUGCUUUCCACUUUAUAUACAAUCAUUUGCCAAUUCUCCUCUCUCCAGGGGCCCUGGAAAGUGCAAACUCCCCACACACAAACAGUGCUAAAAUUAGCAAUGACACUGACUCUACAGACCUGUAACAACAACAAGAACUUGUUCUUCCAGUGCUUUGGGAAUUGUGGUUUCUUUAUCCUUAUGGAUCAGUUGUUCGAUGGGUUGUUUUUGACUAGGAGUCUGGCUUCUUUAUCUCUCUAUGGAGAAGAACAAGAUGCUAAAACCACACUGGUCAUGAAUGGUCCACAGCAAGGAUUAGCAUUAUUGUCACUGCUGUUCUGACUGGAAGACUCUUUCUCCAUGUAGAAUAGCACCUUUUGUACUCAACAUACAAUGAGAUGCAGGCUCAACAAGGAAAACAGUUAAUGUAGUAACUAUGUAAGGAAACACAACAUCCAAUAUACUUUCAGCAAUAUUUCCCACACAGCCUUGGACAUUAGAAUGUAUUUGCCUAGAAGAGAAAUGUAGGCCAGGUCACAGGUUAUCCUGUAUUCUUGUGCCAUGGGAUCAUCACUUGAGCACCUACUAGACAGGACCCUGGCUUAACAGUUCGUCUGAGGGAUGGUACCCCUCAGAGUGCAGCACUCGCCCAGUUGUUGUGCUGCUCUAUAAGCACUGCUUAGGAGUCCAGAUUCUACUUGUUGUAGGAUUUAAUCUAAAUCCUGCUAAACCAGAUUGCUACUAACUGAGCCAUGCUGUCAUGCAUGUUUAACAAUAUAAAAAUAGGUUUACUUGAUACAGUUUCAUUCUUUCAGCAGCAAAAGCACAAAAUACUGGCUAAAAUAUGUAUUUACCCCAUGCAAUCUUAAGUCCACCACCAUCUUUUUCAGGACCCUUUUAAAAGUGUACAAGAGCCGUAGGAUUCUGACCAUUCCUUAACCCAUGUGGCAAUUAACAGUCUCUGAGAAACAAUAAUCUUCUAUCACAACCAUCCAGAGAAGGAAAAGUUUUACUCCCAAGAAACAGAGAGAGCUGCAGAUAUAUCUAUUUAAUGAAGAUAUUUUAGUACAAAGAAAAAUGACAGACAAAUUGAUUUUGGGCCCAAUCCUAAUAGCAAUUAAUUCCGUGGCAGAUUGGGGCCCUGACAUACAGCAACAUACAGCAUCACUUUUCCCUUCCAGUGUUGUAUGUCUCCAUUUCAGACAGUAAGUAGCUGUUCAGCUCAGUAUGCCCUAUGCCUGGUAUGCUCCCUCGAUAGGCUAUUUACGUAAGACCUAUAUAUAUUUUUGUUAGAAAAAACGUAUUCACAUUGUAUGCACUGCUUGUCUUUUCAAGGCUAGCAGAUUUUAAAGCCUGCAUUUCUCAAAGAAAGAAAUAAAACACGUGUUCUCCA